rnacentral:lncRNA from 1 species
AGAGUUCGUAUAUGACUCCAGUCCUGGCGCUGGAUGCUGCUGCUGUUCCAGCUUCCUAGGUGUGGAAACUGAAGGACCAAGAGAUUAAACAGGUGUGCUGAGUAAACUCACAGGCUGAGAUUCGAAUUAUCCUCCCCCGACGAGGAUGGAGCCUUCGCUGUCUUCCUUGAUCGCCACGUUUCUUUGCGAGCCGAUGAAGGAAAGCGUGAGGAAUGAUAAGGCCCUGGAGACUGGAGAACGCGAGCUUAUCGCUGUCUCACAUGCGCACGGCUUAGACGUUGAGAGCUCACAGGCCCACUUGCAUAACCACUUUCUUGAUAGCGGGGUUACAGCUUGAGAGCAUGGGGCUUUGUGCACGGCCAGACCUAAAGACUACUCCUGGGUCUGCUACUGGCCAUUGUGACACCUUAAGUCAUUUCCCCUAUUCUGAGACUCCGUUUCCCCGUCUGUAAGGUGGAAAGAAUAGUAUCUGUUUCAUAGGAUCACAGUGAGUAUUAAAUGAAAUAAUGCAAUUAAAGAACUCAGCAGGCCGGGCGCGGUGGCUCACGCCUGUAAUCCCAGCACUUUGGGAGGCCGAGGCGGGCGGAUCACGAGGUCAAAAGAUCGAGACCAUCCUAGCCAACAUGAUGAAACCCCGUCUCUACUAAAAAUACAAAAAUUAGCUAGGCGUGGUGGCGCGAGCCUGUAGUCCCAGCUACUCGGGAGGCUGAAGCAGGAGAAUCGCUUGAACCCGGGAGGCAGAGGUUGCAGUGAGCCGACAUCGCGCCACUGCACUCCAGCCUGGCGACAGAGCAAGACUCUGUCUCAAAAAGAAAAAAAAAGAAAAAACUCAGCAAAUGGCUGACACAUGAUGGGCAUUCAGUAGCCGAUGGUUAUUACGGUCAAAUCCAACCACAGCAACUUACUAGCUGCGUGGCCUUGGGCAAGUGACUUGAUCUUCUGAGACUCAGUUUACCCCCUGUGAAGUGAAGGGAUUGGACUAGAUGAUCUCUGCGUUUCCUCCCCCAUGUGAUAUUUCAAAGUACUUUUUUUCGAACAGCUGGUUGUGGCCUGUCAAUAGGUUUUAAAAUCCGUUUAUAGAGAAUUGUGAUCAACAUUUAAAAAAAAAAUAGAAUACAAAAAAAAAAAAACCCAGAAUGUAUCACACAUUUCAAGUCUCAAUUGAUGAAACUUUUGUUUCAGUUUUGAGUUUGUAUUCAGACACAAUAUGAUGUGUUUUUCAUAUUGUGGGUUGAGAUCAAAAUAAUUAAAAGUCACUGUUUAGAGGUGAAAUAAUCUUGUUUUCAGGAUAGAAUGUUUUCCUACUCCCUGGUGGGGAAAAGACAGGAUACAGAAAGAGAGUUAUGGGAUACCCUGGCUACCCUCUUCCCUUCACAUCUGGCUCUGGAGUGCUCAGUGGGGCUGGUGAAGUAUAGACCAAAAUAUCCAUUUUUUCAAGUUCCAUUCAGAAAUAUUUUCUGGGCCACAUGCAGUGCCUCAUGCCUGUAAUCUCAGCACUUUUGGGAGGCCAAGGUGGGAGGAUCACUUGAGCCCAGGAGUUUGAGACUAGCCUGGGCAACAUAGGGAGACCCCAUCUUUACAAAAAUAAUUAAAAAUAUUAGCCCAGCAUGGUGGCUCAUGCCUGUGGUCCCAGCUAUUUGGGAGGCUGAAGUGGAAGGAUCUCCUGAGCCUGGGAGGGUGAGGCUGUAGUGAGCUGUAAUCAUACCACUGCACUCCAACCUGGGUGUCAGAGCAAGACUGUCUCAAAAAAAUAAAAACAAGAAAAAUAUUUUGAUGUCCUAUUUUAGUUACUUGUGCAAUAAGCAAGCUUGGUUCUGUUUCAAAAUAGCUCAGUGCCGUGAAUUAUUCCUGCUUUUAGGUCACAGUUUCAGGUAAGGGACCUGGAAUGUGGCAAACAGUAAAUGUUUACUUGACUGAUAUACUUGGUAGCCUUUCUUUGGUAAGAGUGUCCUUUUGAAGAACCAACUCAGGCCUUACCCCGGAGAUCUACUCAUUUUGGCUUUUUCCUGUUGCCUUCAUUAAUGAUUUAUUUGAGCACUGUGUGCUAAGCACAUUAUGUAGUUCAUCUCAAUUAAUUGUCACAUGAACUUUAAGAGCUAGGUACAGCCAGGUGUGGUGGCUCACACCUGUAACACUUUGGGAGGCCGAGGCGGGUAGAUCACUUGAGGUCAGGAGUUUGAGACCAGCCUGGCCAGCAUGGUGAAACCCCGUCUCUACUAAAAAUAGAAAAAUUAGCCAGGCAUCGUAGCGUGUGCCUGUAAUCCCAGCUACUCGGGAGGCUGAGGCAGGAGAAUCGCUUGAACCCAGGAGGCAGAGGUUGCAGUGAGCCGAGAUUGUGCCACUGCACUCCAGCCUGAGCGACAGAGCGAGACUCCAUCUCAAAAAAAAAAAAAAGAGAGCUAGGUGCUAUUACCUACUGUUAUCUCCAAUUUGAAGAUGAGGAAAACUGAGGCUGAAAGAGGCAAACUAACUUGUCUGAGACUAGGUAAAGUUAGGAGGUAACCAGGCUUUGAACACAUCCUGUAGUGUUCUUGUAACACAUCAGUAGUUUCCUGGUUAGGGUGGGGAGGUUGAGGCGGGAGGUGCACACAAAGUAAAUAUGCUGUAUCAAUUAGCUUAUGCUGUGUAACAGAUUACCCUAAAACUUUGAUAGCUUUAAACAACAAACAUUGAUUAAUUCGCAUGAUCCUGUGGAUUAGCUUUUCUGGGCCAGUUCAGCUUGGGCUGGAAAGUUUGGGAUGGUCUCACUCUCGUCUGCUUGAUGCUGGCUGUUAGCUGGGAUGAUGGGACCACGUGUCUCCAGCAGACAAGCCUAGCUAAAUUACAUGGUGAUAAUUGCAGAGUUCCCAGGAGCAAGAGAGGGCAAGACUCAAUUGCACAAGCACUUUUUUUUUUUUUUUUUUUUUUGAGAUGGAGUCUUGCUCUGUCACCUAAGCUGGAGUGCAGUGGCACAAUCUCCGCUCACUGCAACCUCCCCCUCCCGGGUUCAAGCGAUUCUCCUGCCUCAGCCUUCCGAGUAGCUGGGAUUACAGGCGCCUGCCACCACGCCUGGCUAAUUUUUGUAUUUUUAGUAGAGAUGGGGUUUCACCAUGUUGGGCAGGCUGGUCUCAAACUUCUGACCUCAGGUGAUCUGCCCACCUCGGCCUCCCAAAGUGCUAGGAUUACAGGCAUGAGCCACUGCGCCCUGCCAGCACAAGCACUUUUUAAGCCUUACAUCUAUAAUCUUUCUAUAAUGACCCAUCAGCCAAAUCCAAAUUCUAGAGUGGAGAGCUAGACUGUAGACUUCACCUCCUGAUUGGAAGAACUGCAAAAUACUGUGGCUCCUCCCCUCCCAGUAGGUCUGUAUUAGUUGUCUUUUGUUGUGUAACAAAUUAUUCCCAAACUUAAUGGCUUAAAACUGUAGCAGGACAAGCUGCAGAUAAAACCUGUCAGACACCAGGUUAAAGAAGGAAGAGACUUUAUUCGGCCAGGAGCGUUGGCAGAGUUGUGUCUCAAGAACCAAGCUCUCCAAAGAAAAAGUUCCUGGCCCUUUUAAGGGCUUAUAACUCUAAGGGGGUCCACGUGAAAGGGUUGUGAUAGAUUGAGCAAGUGAUCUAUAGGUAACACAUGUGGUUAGGGUGGGGGCGUUAAUCUUUAACCUCAGGCCUGGUAAGUGGCAUCAGUUGGUCUUGCCACUGACUUCAUUCCUGUUGUUUUUCAGCUUUUACUUCUUCCUUCUCUUCAGAGACAGUAAGAGAAAUGGCCUCUCUCCUCAAAACAACAAUUAACAUUUAUCAUCUCACAGUUUCUGUGAGUUAGGAAUUUGAGAGCGUCCUAGCUGGGUGGUUCUGGCUUGGGGUCUCUCAUGAGCCUGAAAUCAUAUGAAGGCUUGGCCAGGGCUGGAGAAGCCCCGGCUGGCAAGUUUGUGCAGGCUCUUGGCAGGAGGCCCCAGUUCCUUAACACAUGGACCUCUCAAUAGUACUGUUUGAGUGUCCUCAUGAUACAGCAGCUGGUUUUCAGCAGAACAAGUGAUCUAAGGGCAAGGUAGAAACCACCAAUGUCUUUUAUGACCUAGCCACAGAAGUCCCAUAUUGUCAAUUUUGCAACAUCCCAUGGUUUCACAGGUCAGCCAUAUUCAGUGUGUGCGGGAACUUCAUAAGAGUGCAGAUACCAGGAGGUAGAAAUCAUUAGAGGCCACCUUAGUGGCUGGCUACCAUGCUGCCAUACAUGUUAAGUGGCACUGAAAAUGGCUUUAUUCUACUGUACUUAAUUAGUAGUUUGGCUGUGGAUAGAAUUCUUUCAUAAUUGUGAAGAAAUUGCUCUGGUUUUCUUCUGGCUUUGAUAAAUACAAUGCUGUUCUGAAUCCUGAUUCUUUUUAUGGGUUUUCCCCCCACCCCACCCCGUUUUCUGGAAGCUUUUAAGAUCUUCUCUUGGUAUUCUAGAAUGUGAUGAUUUUUGUUGUGCUUUUCAAUUUAGAACCCCUAGAACAAAGUGUGAGCACACAGGUUAGGACCUCUGCAUGCGUGGACACAAGGCCCUUCCAGGCACACAGAUUUAGAGAUAUGGAGAGAAUGGGGCAGGGCUAGGGUCCUGUUCUCUGCCUCUCACCACCUUCUAGUACAGAACUCUGAGAGGCCCAAAAAUGUGAAUGUGGUCUUCCAGGUCAUUGUGAAGGUUUAUUUAUUGACAUAGCAGAAUAGAUUGUCUUUUAUUUAAUAGUUCAUUAGGGUCAUUUAUAACUUUUUAAGUAUGCAUUCAGCUGUAUUCUUGCUCCUGUCCUGCAAAUAUUAGGUUUGGCCUGCUAGGCAAAUUGCUUAACCUCUCUAGGUCUCAGAUUUUUUUCUUUUUUCUUUUUAUUUAUUUAUUUUUCUAGGCCUCAGAUUUGUCUUACAUAAAAUGGGAAUCAUAACAGUACCUAUGUUGUGGAGUGCUAUGACAGUAAUGUGAAAUAACACAUGAAAGUGUUUGGUAUAACAUCUGGUCCACAGGGAAAGGCUAUUACUGUAGCCGCCCCCCUCCCCUGCCCCUGACUCGGUUUUGCUUUCUGUGGUUUCAGUUACAUGCAGUCAACCACUGUCCAAAAAUAUUAAAUGGAAAUUUUCAGAAAUAAACCAUCUGUAAAUUUUAAAUUGCAUGCUGUCCUGAGUAGCGUGAUGAAGUCUUGUGCUGUCCCGCUCUGUCCACCUGGGGAACCUGAAUCGUCCCUUUGUCUAGUGCCUCCACGCUGUAUACACUCCCUGUUCGUUAGUCACUUACUAAGUAAGUGCCCUGUUCGUUAUCGGAUCGACUGCCGUGAUAUUGCAAUGCUUGUGUUCAAGUCACCCUUAUUUGACUUAAUAAUGGCCCCAAAGUGCAAGAGUAGUCAUGCUAGCAAUUUGGAUAUGGCAAAGAGAAGCCAUAAAGUUCUUUCUUUAAAUGAAAAGGUAAAAGUUAUAAUAAGGAAAGAAAAAAUAAAGUGUGCUGAGGUCGCUAAGAUCUGUAGUAAGAACGAAUCUUCUAUCUGUGAAAUUAUGAAGAAGGAAAAAGAAAUACCUGCUAGUUUUGCUGCCACACAUGAAACUGCAAAAGUUAUGAGCACAGUGCCUGAUAACUGUAUUACAUCAUAUUGCUAUAAUUGUUCCAUUUUAUUAUUAGUUGUUUAAUCUCAUCGUGCCUAAUUUAUAAAUUAAAUGUAAUCAUAGGUAUGUAUGUAUAGAAAAAAGCAUAGUACUGUAUAUAUAGCGUUCAGUACUAUUUCAGUCAUCCCCUGAGGGUCUUGGAACAUAUCGCCCACAGAUAAGGGGGGACUGCGGAUAAUCCCCAGUUUAUGGUGGUUCGACUUAUGACUUUGUGACUUUACAGUGGUGCAAAAGUGGUAAGAAUUCAGCAUUCUCCUCGACAAGUGGACGAGCAUCUACUGUGCUUUCACAGCGGCUAUCACUAUUGCCAGCAGCAAGACUGUCAGCUCGGCGCCCUCGUCUGGUUGGAUGGGAAACUGCAGUUGCUAAGGGAGCUGGGUUUGUAAGGAGCCGGCCAGGGUUGCAGGGUGGCUUAGCUGUGAUUUGGGAGUAAUGCCUUGUGCCUCUGCUUACUGUCUCCUCUCUUGCACUCCUAUGUUGCAGGAAUCUCUGAGGACAAAUGGGAAUUCUCACUGAUUUCUAGGACUACCCUGGGGCAGGUAAGAAAAGCAUCCAAGUUUUUUCCCAUUGCUCCAUUUAUAAACUUUUUUUUUUUUUUGGAGAUAGGGUCUCACUCUGCCACCCAGGCUGGAGUGCAGUGGCACAGUCUUGGCUCACUGCAACUUCUGCCUCCUGGGCUCAACCAGUCCUCCCACUUCAGCCUCCUGAGUAGCUGGGACUACAGGUGCAUGCCACCAUGCCCAGGUAAUUUUUGUAUUUUUUGUAGAGAUGGAGUUUCAUCACAUUGCCUAGGCUGGUCUCGAAAUCCUGGACUCAAGUGAUCUGCUGGCCUCAGCCUCCCUAACUGCUGGGACUAGAGGCCUGAGCGACCACCCCUGGCUGUAAACAUUUUCUUAGCUCAAGGAUUGCUGAAUUUGUAUCCAUUUUCUUCUCUCCUAUCUCAAUUGGGUGGGUGAAAUGAUACUGUUAAUUAUUUUCUGUUACUUUUGAAUGCUUCUUUGUGGCGAACUGAGGGCAUAGUAAUACUGUAGCAGCUAACAACCAUAUGGGUCCCGAGGGCUUUACUAAUGUUAUUUUUUAAUUUUCCUAAUUGCAGGUGUUUUAUUAUUAGCUUCAUUUUAUAGAUGAGAAAACUGGGCACAGAGAGGCUGAGUUACUUGCUCAAGUUCAUACAGGUGGUCAGUAGUAGAGCUAGGAUUUGAACCCGGCAGUCAGCCUCGGGAGUUCAUGUUAUUUUUAUUUAUUUAUUUUUUGAGACAAGGUCUUGCUCUGCCACGCAGACUGGAGUGCAGUGUCGUGAUCUCAGCUCACUGCAGCCUUGACACCCCCAGGCUUAAGUGAUCCUCCUGCCUCAGCCUCUUGAGUAGCUGGGACUACAGGCACACAUCACCAUGCCUGGCUAAUUUUUGUAUAUUUUGUAGAGACGGAGUUUUGCCAUGUUGCCGAGGCUGGUCUCAAACUCCUGGGAUCAAAGGAUGCGCCCCUGUUAGCCUCCCAAAAUGCUGGGAUUAUAGGUGUGAGCUACCGAGUCUAUGUUCUUUUUUUUUUUUUUUUGAGGCAGAGUCUCGCUCUGUCCCCCAGGCUGGAGUGCAGUGGCGCGAUCUCAGCUCACUGCAAGCUCCGCCUCCCGGGUUCACGCCAUUCUCCUGCGUCAGCCUCCAGAGUAGCUGGGACUACAGGCACCCGCCACCACGCCGGGCUAAUUUUUUCUAUUUUUAGUAGAGACGGGGUUUCGCCGUGUCAGCCAGGAUGGUCUCGAUCUCCUGACCUCGUGAUCUGCCCGCCUCAGGCUCCCAAAGUGCUAGGAUUACAGGUGUGAGCCACCGUGCCUGGCCUGAGUCCAUGUUCUUAACCACACUGAACCUCCUCCAAAUAUUAUUUAAUAUUUAUGAUUUACGAUGUGCCAGGCUGAGACCCCAGAGCUUAGGCUCUUCUCCACCAUGCUGCACUUACCAGCUGUGUUACCUUGGACAAGUCAUUUUCCUCAGAGCUUAGGUUAUAACAACAACUGUUUACUAAAUGCCCACUCCGUGAUUGGCGCCUGGCCUAAUCCAUCAUCAUCAUCAUCCUGGCUAACAUGUCCUGAGCUGUUUCUGUGUGCCAGGCACUGUUCUAAGCAUUUUAACACUGCAAGGUUGAUUUAUUUUCCCUUGUUUUUUUUUUUUUUUUUUUUUUUGAGAUGGAGCCUCGCUCUGUCACCCAGGCUGAGUGCAGUGGCACAAUCUCAGCUCACUGCAACCUCCACCUCCUGGGUUCAAGUGAUUCUUCUGCUUCAGCCUCCUGAGUACCUGGGACUACAGGCGCACACCACCAUACCCAGCUAAUUAUUAUUAUUAUUAUUUUAAUUAAUUAAUUUUUUUUUUUUGAGACAGAGUCUCACUCUGUCGCCCAGGCUAGAGUGCAGUGGCAUGAUCUCGGCUCACUGCAAGCUCCAUCUCCCGGGUUCACGCCAUUCUCCUGCCUCAGCCUCCCGAGUAGCUGGGACCACAGGUGCCCACCACCACGCCCAGCUAAUUUUUUGUAUUUUUAUUAGAGACAGGGUUAGUAGAGAUGGUCUUGAUCUCCUGACCUCGUGAUCCGCCCACCUUGGCCUCCCAAAGUGCUGGGAUUACAGGCGUGAGCCACAGCACCCAGACUUUUUUUUUUUUUUUUUUUUUUGUGAGAUGGAGUCUCACUCUGUCACCUAGGCUGGAGUGCAGUGGCGUAAUCUCGGCUCACUGCGACUUCCACCUUCCAGGUUCAAGCAAUUCUCCUGCCUCUUCCUCCUGAGUAACUGGAAUUACAGGCUCACACCACCACACCUGGCUAAUUUUUGUAUUUUUAAUAAAGACAGGGUUUCACCAUGAUGGUCAGGCUGGUCUCGAACUCCUGACCUCGUGACCCGCCUUCCUUGACCUCCCAAAGUGCUGGGAUUACAAGCGUGGGCCACCACGUCUGGCCUAAUUUUUGUAUUUUUAGUAGAUACCGGGUUUCACCAUAUUGGCCAGGCUGGUCUCGAGCUCCUGACCUCGUGAUCCGCCUGCCUGGGCCUCCCAAAGUGCUGGGAUUACAGGUGUGAGCCACCACGCCCAGCCUAUUUUCCUCAUUUUUAGAGAAAGAAACUGAGAGAUUAAGUGACAUGCUCAAGUCCACAUGGCUAGAAAGUGUGGGGUUUGAAGCCAAGUCUGACGUCUGACUCCACAGCCUGUGCCCUUAGCUGCCCUUCUCUGAGCCUUGUGGAUUACCUAGAGCCCAGGCUGUCAUGAUUACCUUUGGAGGUUUUUUUGUUUUUUUUGGUCAGCAUACAUUUUUCUCUGGAUUUUUAGUUUUUUCCAAUAAGUUUUGGGGGAACAGGUGGUGUUUGGUUACAUGAAUAAGUUCUUUAGUGGUGAUCUCUGAGGUUUUGGUGCACCCAACCUUUGGAAUCUUUAAUGCUGUUAGCAAAUAUUCCCAAUUCUCUGCAUCCAGGAACAUGGAUGGAUUGUGCUUCCUUGACCCCAUGAAUUAAGGUGCAGCCAAUGCAAUAUGAUGGCAAUGAUAGAUGUCACUUCUAGACAAAACUUAACAGUUAUAUCAAUAUUGUAAUUAAUAUUAUUUUUUAUUAUUAUAAUUAAUGUUAAUAAUAUAUUAAUAUUCUCUACUUGCCUCGAAGAUCUUACAAGCAUGGGAAUGGCACCUCCCUUAGCCUGGGCCCCUGAGUGAGGAUGACAUAAAGCAGAUCCCUGUCAGACUCACAAUGGACAGGCGGUGAGACCUCUGUUGUUGCAAGCCACUGAGAUUUGAGGGUUGUUGCUGCAACAGAACCAUGUCCAAGGCUUCUCAACCUUGGCUCUAUUUACAUUUUCGGCCAGAUAAUUCUUUGUUGGGGGAGGGGCGCUGUCUUGUGCAUUGUAGCAUGGAUAGCAGCAUCCGUGGCCUCUGCCCACUAGAUGCCCAUAGCUCCCCAACAACAGCGACAACCAAAAUGUCUCCAGAUGUUGCCAAGUGUCAUACUGGGAACAAAGUCACCUCUAGUUGAGAACUACUGCUGAGCCUAUUCCUUUUUCCUUUUUUUUUUUUUUUUUUUUUUUGAGACAGGGUCUCACUUUGUCACCCAGGCUGGAGCUUUGUCACUCAGUGCAAACUUUGCUUCCCAGGUUCAAGAGAUUUUCCCACCUCAGCCUCCCAAGUAGCUGGGACUGCAGGCAUACGCCACCACACCUGGCUAAUUUUUGUAUAUUUUGGUAGAGACGGAGUUUCACCAUGUUGGCAGGCUGGUCACAAACUCCUGACCUCAAGUGAUCCACCUGCCUCACCUCCAAAGUUCUGGGAUUACAGGCAUGAGCCACCGCACCUGGCCGGCCAUUUUCUUUAAAUCCAGAAGAGGUGGCAACACUGGGCCCUGUCUUCAACCCGGAAGCAAUAAAGUGGAGCUGUGUGAAUAGCUCCAUUUUCUUUCUGUUCCCAUCACAGCCUGCUGUCACAUACCAAACCCCUGGUAUUUGAGUUUGUGGCCGUAAGAAAUUAGGUGGUCUUCCUUUUUAGUGGUUGUUAGAAGCUGCAGUUUAAGGGACCCGAAAAAAUUAGAAUGGGGCCCCAAAACAGAAAAGUCAAACUAACUCUGAGGAAGCAGGCACUAAGAUUUCAUUUAUCAGGAAGGACUUGUUGACCUCAAAAUAGUUCUUAGCUUGUGACCCUGAAGUUUGAAUUCCCAUCAGUAAAAAACAAAACCUUUUUCUUUCAUUCCACAUUUAGAGGGAAAGAAGGAGGGACACUAAAAUGUGGCUCCCCUUCUGUCAUUGAAUCCUUAUAAGAAUUCCUGCAGAGUGUCAUAAUUCCCAUUUUACCAAUGAGGAAACUGAGGCUCAGAGAGGUGUGGGAGUGGUGGAGGCAGGAUUUGAACCUGGGUCUCAUCCCAAAGGUCAUGCAUGCUUUUUCCACUACACUAGACAUUCCCAAACCAGGCCGCUCAUCGAGUUCAUUGGGGGAAGCCUACAAAAGCGUACCUGUUUCCAGAUCCUACCUUUGACCUAUUCAACCAUAUUUCUUCAGUAGGGCCCAGAAACCUGUACUUUAAAGAAUUAUUUGUGGCCGGGCGCCGUGGCUCACGCCUGUAAUCCCAGCACUCUUGGAGGCCGAGGUGGGUGGAUCACGAGGUCAGGAGAUCAAGACCAUCCUGGCUAACACGGUGAAACUCCGUCUCUACUAAAAAUACAAAAAAUUAGCCGAGCGUGGUGGCGAGAGCCUGUAGUCCCAACUACUCGGGAGGCUGAGGCAGGAGAAUGGCGUGAACCGGGAGGUGGAGCUUGCAGUGAGCGGAGAUCGCGCCACUGCACUCCAGCCCUGGUGACAGAGUGAGACUCCGUCUCAAAAAAAAAAAAAAAAAAAAAAAAAAAAGCCAGGCGCGGUGGCUCACGCCUGUAAUCCCAGCACUUUGGGAGGCCGAGGCGGGCAGAUCACGAGGUCAAGAGAUCGAGACCAUCCUGGCCAACAUGGUAAAACCCCGUGUCUACCAAAAAUACAGAAAUUAGCUGGGCAUGGUGGCGCACACUCGUAGUCCCAGCUUCUCGGGAGCCUGAGGCAGGAGAAUUGCUUGAAUCCGGGAAGCGGAGGUUGCAGUGAGCCAAGAUCGCGCCACUGCACUCCAGCCUGCCAAUAGAGCAAGACUUUGUCUCAAAAAAAAAAAAAAAAAAAAGAAUUAUUUGUGCAGUUAUUUGAUAACUGUCUCCCUACUAGAUGAAAGCUUCAUGAGGGCAAGGGCCAUGUCUCUUUUUUUUUUUUUUUUUUUUUUGAGACGGAGUUUUGCUCUUGUCCAGACUGGAGUGCAGUGGCACAAUUUCGGCUCACCGCAACCUCCACCUCCUGGGUUCAAGCGAUUCUCCUGCCUCAGCCUCCCAAGUAGCUGGGAUUACAGGCAUGCACCACCACGCCCAGCUAAUUUUGUAUUUUUAGUAAAGACGGAGUUUCUCCAUGUGGGUCAGGCUGGUCUCGAACUCCUGGCCUCAGGUGAUUCAUCUGCCUUGACCUCCCAAAGUGCUGGGAUUACAGGCAUGAGCCACCAUGCCUGGCCUUUUUUUUUUUUUUCUUUUUUCUUUUUUGAGACAGGGUCUUGCUCUUUCACCCGGGCUGGUGCGCAGUGGGAUGAUCUUGGCUCACUGCAGCCUCAACCUCCCCGAGUUCAAGCAAUCCUCCCACCUCAGCCUCCUGAGUAGCUAGAACUACAGGUUCAUGCCACCAUGCCCAACUAAUAUUUUAUUUUAUUUUGUUUUAUUUUUAUUUUAUUUUGAAUGGCAUGAUCUUGGCUCACUUCAACCUCCACCUCCCAGGUUCAAGGUAUUCUCCUGCUUCAGCCUCCCGAGUAGCUGGGAUUAUAGGCAUGUGCCACCACACCCGGCUAAUUUUGUAUUUUUAGUAGAGAUGGGGUUUCUCCAUGUUGGUCAGGCUGGUCUUGAUCUCCUGACCUCAGGUGAUCUGCCCGCCUCAGCCUCCCAAAGUGCUGGGAUUACAGGCAUGAGCCACCGCGCCUGGCCUAAUAUUUUAUUUUUUUAGAGACAAGAUCUCACUAUGUUGCCCAGGCUAGUUUCAACCUCCUGGACUCAAGUAAUCUCUCACCUUGGCCCCCCAAAGUGCUGGGAUUACAGCUGUGAGCCACUGUCCCCAGCCUGCCAUGUCUGACUUAGUCAGUGACACAGAGUGGGAAGCAAUGCAAGUAUUUGCUUACUACUAAAUCAACAAGCUUCCUAGUCCUGACCUAGGGACCUGCUGUGAAGAGCUAUUCCACUGUGGCAAAUUCUCUGGAGCAGUUCUCAAACUUCAGUGUACAUUUUAAGAAUUGCUUAGUGUCGGCCGGGCGUGGUGGCUCAUGACUGUAAUCCCAGCACUUUGGGAGGCAGAGGCGGGUGGAUCAUUUGAGGUCAGGAGUUCAAGACUAGCCUGGCCAACAUGGUGAAACCCCGUCUCUACUAAAAAUACAAAAAUUAGCCGGGUUGUAGUGAUGCAUGCCUAUAAUCCCAGCUACUUGGGAGACUGAGGCAGGAGAAUCGCUUGAGCCUGGGAGGCGGAGGUUGCAGUGAGCUGAGAUCACGCCACUGCACUCCAGUCUGGGGAACAGAGCAAGACUCCAUCCCCCCAAAAAAAAAAUGCUUAGUGUCAGGCCAGGCACAAUGGCUCAUGCCUGUAAUCCCAGCACUUUGGGAGGUCGAGGCAGGUGGAUCUCACCUGAUCUCACCUGAGGUCAGGAGUUCAAGACCAGCCUAGCCAACAUGGUGAAACCCAUCUCUACUAAAAAUACAAAAGUUGGUGGUGCACGCCUGUAGUCCCAGCUACUAGGGAGGCUGAAGCAGGAGAAUCACAUGAACCCGGGAGGCAGAGGUUGCAGUGAGCCGAGAGUGAUCAAGCUACUGCAUUCCAGCCUGGGUGACAGAGUGAGACUUCACCUCAAAAAAAAAAAAAAAAAAAAAAAAAAAAAAAAAAAAAAAAAAAAAAUCGCUUAGUGUCUCAGUCAUUUCAGGCUACUGUAACAACUUACCAUAGACUGACUGGCUUAGGCAACAAACAUUUACUUCUCACAGUUCCAGAGGCUGGAAGUCCAAGAUCAAGGCGCUGGCCAAUUCUGUGUCUGGUGAGGGCCCUCUUCUUGGUUUGCAGACUGCCGUCCUCUCAUUUCCUCACAUGGUGGAGAACAAGGAGCAAGAGCAACUCUCAUUUCUCUUAUGAGGGAGAAUCCUAUUCAUGAAGCCUCUACCCACGUGACCUAAUUACCUCCAAAGGCCUAUCUAAUACUGUCACACUGGGUCUUAGGAUUUCAGCAUAGGCAUUUUGGGGGGACACAAACAUUUAGUCCAUAACACUUGAGUUGCAUCUUUUUAAAUGCAUAUUCUGAGGCCCCAACCCAAGACUCUGUGCUUGAGAAACAGAUACAGUGAUAUAAAAUUUUGAUGGCUGGAACUUUCCUUAGUCUUUGAAAAGAGUUGAGACAAUAGACAUCAUAGAGAAGUUCAGGGGGCCGGGCGAGGUGCCUCAUGCCUGUAAUCCCUGCACUUUGGAGGCCAAGGUAGAGUGAUUAAGCUCAAGAGUUCAAGACCAGCCUGGGCAACACGGCAAAACUCCAUCUCCCAAAAAAAUACCAAAAAAUUAUCUGGGAGUGGUGGUGCACAUCUGUAGUCACAGCUACUUGGGAGGCUGAGGUGGGAGGAAUACUUGAGCCUGGGAGGUUGACGCUGCAGUGAGCCAAGAUCCCACCGCUGCACUCCAGCCUGGGUGACAGAGUGAGACUGUCUCAAAAAGAGUGAGAGAAAGAAGUUCAGGGGCCUCUGAAGACAAACUGUUUCACCAUUUAGCAAAUAACCAGGAAGAGAUGAAAGUGGAUGAGAAACCCUGUGAUGGGGGCAUCUGUCAAGUUGAUAAGCCAGGUAGGAUUCUGCUGGGCAUCAGUUACAUGAAGCAGACAAAAGAUAUCAUUCUUAGAAAUGACUGUUGAACUUGAGGAUAAAGAAUUUUUAGGCUGGGCACGGUGGCUCACACCUGUAAUCCCAGCACUUUGGGAGGCCAAAGCGGGCAGAUGGCUUGAGGUUGGGAGUUGCAGACCAGCCUGGCCAACGUGGUGAAACCCUGUCUCUACUAAAAAUAUAAAAAUUAGCUGGGCGUGGUGGCACAUGUCUGUAAUCCCAGCUACUCGCGAGGCUGAGGCUGCAGUGAGCCGAGAUCGUGCAACUGCACACCAGCCUGGGCAACAGAGCGAGACUCCAUCACAAAAAAAGAAUUUAAAAAAAAAAAACAGAAACGACUCUGGCCUUGGCUCAGGCAUCUUUUGUUUUGGAGGUCAGCUUUGCUUCAGAGGCCAAAUUGGGUAUGCAUGUCAGUGUAUGAGAUGGUAAAUGUGACUGAGAGCAUGUGUUUUGGAGUCAGGCCAAUACAUAGCACCACUGCUCACUGAUUCUGUGAACUUAGGCAAGUUCUUCAUCUCUCUGUGCUUCGGUUUUUCUCAUUUUCAUUAAAACAAUUUUUUAAAAUUUAUUUCUACAGACACUAUGGUGACUUAAGUUCUCAUUUUUAUUUUUUAAUCCCCUGGAUUUACCAGGAUUAAGUUGUCAUUUUUAAAAUGGGGCCAUGACUGUUUACCUCACAGGAUCAUUGUGAUAACAGAGGCAGUGUACAGAAGAAGGAAUGGUGGCACCUAGUAGGUGCAUAAUCAAUAAAGUCAGUUACUCCUCCCUAACUGUUAAGUGUCAGAGUCUAUUACUCCAUAUCCUAAGGUCUAAUACAGGUCCUGGCUCAGCAAAUGUUUAAUUAAUCGAUAAAGGACAGAUUUGUAUGUUUGAUGGAAGGUCCAAUCCACUUGCUGUAUGCAGGGUUGAAGCCAAAUCCAUGGCUCCAUUAGCAAGUGCUAAAGCUCCUGCAGGUCAGCCAGAGCCACCACAGCAGGUUCUCAUUAAGUCUUUGCUGGCACGACUUUCCUGCAUUCAUGUUCCUUCUGUACUCAUUAGAACGCCCGUGUAAGCUGAGACCUACUGGUCCCUCACAGCCCGUGGAAACUGAAAGGCAGAGUGGCACAAACCUUGCAGUUAGAGAAUCACGGUGUCAAAUCCUUCCUUUUGCCACUUUAUUAGCUACGCAACUUGGCCAUGUUAAUUUCACUCCUUUCCCCCCCCUCCCCGUUUGUUUUUUAUUUUUUUGGAGACAGGGUCUUGCUCUGUCGCCCAUGCUGGACUGCAGUGGCAAUCAUGGCUUAUUGCAGCCUCAACCUCCUGGGCUCAAGCCAUCCUCCCACCUCUACCUCCCGAGUGGCUGGGACCAAAGGUGUGUGCCACCACACCCAGCUAGUUUUGUAUCUUUUGUAGAGAUAGAGUUUUGCCAUGUUGCCAAGGCUGGUCUCAAACUCUUGAACUCCAGCAAUCCACCCUCCUUGGCCUCCCAAAGUGUUGGGAUUACAGGCAUGAGCCACAGUCCCUCCUAACCCCCUACCCCUGUUUUUUUUUUGAGACAAAAAAAGAGAUGGGGUUUUGCCAUGUUGCCCAGGCUGGUCUUGCUCUGUCACCUAGACUGGAGUGCAGUAGCAUAAUCACAGCUCACUGUAGCCUCGACCUCCCAAGCUCAAGUGAUCCUCCCACCUCAGCCUUUCACAUAGCUGGGACUAUAGGUGCACCAUCACACCUGGCUAAUUUUUAAUCUUUUUCUAGAGACAGGGUCUCAAUAUGUUGCUCAGGCUGGUCUUGAACUCUUGGGCUCAAGCAAUCCUGCCUCCGCCCUUCAGUGUUGGGAUUACAGAUAUGAACCACCAUGCCCGGCCCCAUUUCACCCCUUUGAACCAGUUUCUAAUUUUAAGAUGGGGUUACCAGGGUUCCAAGUAUAAUAAGGGACAGUGCCUGUUCCCCACAAAUGCUGAGUUCCCGCCCUUUGCUCACAGAAUUCUUUCCGUCUGAAAUUCCUCUUACUACUAAAUUCGGCAUCGUUUAAGGCCCAGCCCAAGGAUGCUGAUUAAGAUCUCUGCCUUAGGAGGGUGCGGUGAGCUGAGAUUGCCUCCUCCAUCUCAAAAAAAAAAACAAAAAAAAAAACUCUGCCUUAAACAGUCCAAGAAUCAGGCAUUUUCUAACUUCUUUCCACUGAUGCUAUAAGUAAGGAAGACACAGUAUAUGGAGUUUGUUUUUUAUUUAGACAUGGAAUUUUCCUUUUCAUAUAACUUAUCUAAUUAAAAUAUUCAUCUCGGUAGUUACCACAAAAAAGUAACAUAGAAAAUUGUAUUUACAUUUUGGGACCAAAAUACAAAUGAAGAGCAGGAUGACACCUUGCUCCUUUCCCUCCCGCUUCCCAGAAAGAAAAAGCCCCAAAGAAACUGCUCAGUACACCAAGGAUCACAAAAGGGUAAUUUGUAAUUUGGUGAUUUGUAUGUAGUGUAGCACAGAAAAAAAAUUGCACAAGUUUUUCCAUAAAUGAGACCAAAGGUUCAAAUUCAUCCUGUGUCAGGUUCAAAUUCAUCCUGUGUCUGCUCUGCAGCCAUUUUAGUAAGCUGGGCAAGGAGGUCAUUUAGAAAUUGGGUUUUUCCUCUUUCCCCUGACUCUUCGCACCAAGUCACAUCCCUGAUGUAGAUACUCUUGGGGGAGGGGAAAACAUCUGGCUCUAUGCAAACAGGGCUCAUCAAAAAUCUUUAUGUGCCAAAAUGGAUACUGACAUUGCUAUGAACAAAUCUGUUUUUUCUUCCCUCCCUGCCUAAAGACUCCUAAUAAGGGACAUUAAAUCAUACACAACUGAAUCUAAGAUAUGAAAAACUAGUUUCAAUGACAAAGACUUGAACACACAGUUAAGAGAUAAAUUCAAGGUGGUAGACACCUAGAAAAAGCUAUUCUAGGCAGCAGACAUCUGGCACCUGACCCAAAUGUUCAUUUGGUUUCAGUUAAGAGGCUUCCUAAUAUUAGAUUUGUGGGGCAGGCUAGGGAUAGGGGUGGAAUGGUGGUACAAGUAACCAAGAGAAGUAAAGUAAUGCUUUACCCAUUCAAAAAUAUAGCAAAUUAAAACAUAGUAACAUUUGUGUCCUGUCACAAUAGGCACCCUGCACAGCAAUACACACUGAACAAUGUCGAGUUUCUGCUGAAUAGACUUCCUACGUUGCUCUGGAAUUCGAAGUUGGCCUAACUGAGGUCUCCAGUUACAGAAAACACUGGCUCUGUAUCCUGGGCUUUGAGAAAACUUAUCAGGCUGUCACACUUACCAUCCCUUCAGUCUGCUUGUCAGGUUCCUUAAGGACGCAUAUCUCAAAUGUAUGGCAUCUACCUCUACCUGGGUCACAACCAAGUGGGUUUCUACUAGAUCGGUGUUCCUUGACAGCCAACAAGGGAGCUGACACUGCCCUCCUAAGUUCUGAUCUUGCUCCUGUUCAACUGGAACUUGAUGGAUCCCAUGUGGUUUCCCCCAUCCUGACGCUGUGGCUCAGACACUCUCCCUAAGCUGGUCCUUCCCUCCAAAUCCUGCCUUAAACACACUCAGAAGGUAGAAAACACUUCAGCAGCAAAGUCCUCUUCCCAAGCCAACAGUUGUGUUCUUCCAAUCACAUGAUCUUACCUUUUCAAUAAAAGGCAAAACAAACCAAUUUCCAACAUAGCAUUACAGCCUUUAAAACCAUUCACUUCUCAUAGUGAUUCACAGAGAACAAGAGAUUAAAGUGCUGGAUUUUAAAUGUCUAAAGUUGCCUUCAGGGCUACAAAAAGCCCUGCCGUGUGUGUUUUUCCUUCAUGGUGUUGAGGGGAAGGAAAGAUAGGGAAGGGCAGUGGGGAGAAACCCUAAAAUUUUCAAUCAGAAACUGGAAAUUGUAAAAGUGGGAGGUGGGGAGUUCUGUGCAAAUCAAUCUCCCAAGGUUCUGCGUCCUCUAGUGAGCCUCAAAGAAAAAAAAAAAAACAAAAAGGUGGGGACUCGCAAAAAGGAUGAGGGAAAGGCUCCAGACCUACAGAGCACCUCCCUUAAUAAAUACCAGUUAGUAAGAAAGAGAUGCACCUGCACAGGAAUGCACAGCAACAGUGGGGAGGGCCUGAGGUGGAGUCCGCCGAGCACCCUGUCGCCCCACUGAGGCUCCCUUGGGGACAGGCGGUCUAGUGCUCAUUCCUUGCCCUACGUGCAGCAGGUACUGUGCAGGCUCUGGAGAUGCCCAGUCCUCUGUCUGGACCAGAGUCCACACAGAGCUGAGCUGGGGCAGGAGACUGGCUUUCACUAGGCUUUCAUCUGAUUUUAAUAAGGACCUGGAAGAUAAAAGGCUAAAUGUGUGGUAGAGGACAAAAAACAAAAACAAACCUGGGGGAUAAUAUAAAUACAAUCUGGGGGCAAUAUUUAUUAAUUAAAACUACGUCUUAUAGUUUACAAAGAUGCUAAUGAACAACAAAAGUAUAAUUGACCUUUAAAAUCCUCAGUGAGACAGAGGCUUCACAUCUUCAGAAUUCUAAAGUGUGCUCCAGGCAGGGAGGCGGGGCUGUGGCACGCAGGUUCCCAGGGGCAGCACCUGCAGACUGCAGGACUCGGAGACCAAAAGGAUCCACAAAGCAAGACUCCAGUCUCCUGUAGAAUUCCAUUCCCCAACCCCCACUGUCCUUGUAUUCCUGCCUCCCCAGAUUCCAUUUCCAAGGCAAGUCCUCAGUUUAUCGUCGGGAGAAUCUGUUCUUGAAAGCUUUAAUUGUCUUGGCCAUCAUUGGGGCAAUUUCUGUGAAAAGAGAAACAAGGCAGCUGUCUCAGAUCUGUGGCGGCUUAGACACACCCCCAGUAGUUUACAGUCAAAGCCAGCUCUGCUAUUCUUGGCUGUGCACCACCAGGCAGAGAUACAAGUAGUAACUAUCUCCUCUGUUCACAAUGCAAUAAAAGCAACAGCACAGAGCAGACACUUUCGGAGGACCUGCCAGGGGCAUGACCACCACUCUCUCUAACCACCUGCACCAAGGCUCAGAGAGCCUGGCCAACUUGCCCAUGGUUGUACAGUAAGGUACAGAAUUACAAUUCAAUCUCUGUCAGACUUUCUUGUUUUUAUUUUUGUAAGGAAAGAGUCUCACUCUGUCACCCUGGCUAGGGUGCAUUGGCACAAUCACAGCACACUGUAGCCUCUACCUCCUAGACUCCAGAGUAGCUGAGACUACAGGAGUGUGCCACCAUGCCUGGCUAAUUUUUUUUUAUUUUCUGUAGAGUCAGGGUCUCACUAUGUUGCUCAGGCUGGUCUCGAUCUCCUGGGCUCAAGCACCCUCCUACCCCAGCCUCCCAAAGUGCUGGGAUUACAGGUGUGUGUGAACCACUGUGCCCCGGCCCUUGCCAGACUCUAAAGGCCAUACUCAGUCAUAACUUAACUUUGCCUCACAAAUAGCCAAACCAGUAAACAGCACGUCUACCCCCAAUCUGUCCAGUGUAGAAACAGGUCUAAGGUGGCUAUGCAAGUACUGCCUAAGGAAGGCCAGCCUGCCUCCUGAAUGGUUCAUCUGAGCAUAGCUGUAGCUCAAGCCAGGACUCCCACCCUCCCAUGGGCCCUGCAAUUAAUACAGAAUAAGACUUAAGUUAGGACAUCCCCUUAGGAUACUGGGGAUAGUCUAUGGUAAUAAAGUUAACAAAAUACAAAAUAGACGCAACUAGAUAUAAAGAAUAAAUAUUUGGAAGACCCGGCCAGGCAUGGUGGUUCACGCUGGUAAUCCCAGGACUUUGGGAGGCUGAGGCGGGCGAAUCACAAGGUCAGGGGUUCGAGACCAGCCUGGCCAACAUGGUGAAACCCCGUGUCUACUAAAAAUACAAAAAAUUAGCUGGGCUUAGUGGCGGGCACCUGUAAUCCCAGCUACUUGGGAGGCUGA